GACGAAGGGGGCUAGCGUUGUUCGGAAUUACUGGGCGUAAAGGGCUCGUAGGUGGCCAACUAAGUCGGACGUGAAAUCCCUCGGCUUAACCGGGGAACUGCGUCCGAUACUGGUUGGCUUGAGUUUGGGAGAGGGAUGCGGAAUUCCAGGUGUAGCGGUGAAAUGCGUAGAUAUCAGGAGGAACACCGGUGGCGAAGGCGGUUCUCUGGGCCUUACCUGACGCUGAGGAGCGAAAGCGUGGGGAGCAAACAGG
rnacentral:rRNA from 1 species